GUCGAGCGGACAGAUGGGAGCUUGCUCCCUGAUGUUAGCGGCGGACGGGUGAGUAACACGUGGGUAACCUGCCUGUAAGACUGGGAUAACUCCGGGAAACCGGGGCUAAUACCGGAUGCUUGUUUGAACCGCAUGGUUCAAACAUAAAAGGUGGCUUCGGCUACCACUUACAGAUGGACCCGCGGCGCAUUAGCUAGUUGGUGAGGUAACGGCUCACCAAGGCGACGAUGCGUAGCCGACCUGAGAGGGUGAUCGGCCACACUGGGACUGAGACACGGCCCAGACUCCUACGGGAGGCAGCAGUAGGGAAUCUUCCGCAAUGGACGAAAGUCUGACGGAGCAACGCCGCGUGAGUGAUGAAGGUUUUCGGAUCGUAAAGCUCUGUUGUUAGGGAAGAACAAGUGCCGUUCAAAUAGGGCGGCACCUUGACGGUACCUAACCAGAAAGCCACGGCUAACUACGUGCCAGCAGCCGCGGUAAUACGUAGGUGGCAAGCGUUGUCCGGAAUUAUUGGGCGUAAAGGGCUCGCAGGCGGUUUCUUAAGUCUGAUGUGAAAGCCCCCGGCUCAACCGGGGAGGGUCAUUGGAAACUGGGGAACUUGAGUGCAGAAGAGGAGAGUGGAAUUCCACGUGUAGCGGUGAAAUGCGUAGAGAUGUGGAGGAACACCAGUGGCGAAGGCGACUCUCUGGUCUGUAACUGACGCUGAGGAGCGAAAGCGUGGGGAGCGAACAGGAUUAGAUACCCUGGUAGUCCAC
rnacentral:rRNA from 1 species